AAGUCAAGUGGGUUCAUUUCUACUUCAGCUCCAAAAUCCAGAAGAGUAAGAGCCAUGGCUUCUCCAAAUGUUUUAGCUCCCCAGCGAGAAAAAGAUCCCAAGAAACGAGUUGUCAUAACAGGAAUGGGGCUAGUCUCAGUUUUUGGUAGUGACGUUGAUACAUUCUAUAACAAACUACUUGAGGGAGAGAGUGGGAUUAGCCUAAUAGAUAGGUUUGAUGCUUCUACUUUCUCUGUCCGCUUGGCGGGUC
rnacentral:misc_RNA from 1 species